UAUUUAAUGUUUUGUCUAUUUUUCUGCACAGAUUAAUUUCUUAUAUGUAUAAUUAAAAUAACAUUAUUUAGCAAUAUUGAUAAAAUGUGUUAAGGCAGCUGAUGUUUAUAUGUGUGUGUAUAUGUAUGUACAGUAUCUCACAAAAGUGAUAACACCCCUCACAUUUUUGUAAAUAUUUUAUUAUAUUUUUUUAGUAAAUGACACUCUGCUACAAUGUAAAGUAGUCAGUGUACAGCCUGUAUAACAGUGUAAAUUUGCUGUCCCCUCAAAAUAACUCAACACACAGCUAUUAAUGUCUAAACCUUGGCAACAAAAGUGAGUACACCCCUAAGUGGAAAUGUCCAAAUUAGGCCCAAUUAACCAUUUCCCCUCACUGGUGUCAUGUGACUCGUUAGUGUUACAAGGUCUCAGGUGUGAAUGUAAUAAUAUAUAUGCGUUUUUAAACGAACACGCAAGGCCUUUGAUGAAUCCUGAUUGGCAAGCCAAACACUGAAAUUAAUUCCUUCCGUUGGCGCGAGGUUUGUAAAUAUGAAAUUUAAAUGAACACCAUUUUAUAUUAAAUAUACAUGUUGUUGUAGACACUUUUUGCCAACGUAGACAAGUCUUGUCAAUGAUUUCUUUCUCAUCCUUAAGUUACGAGAUAACAUUUGUUUACCUGUCUGUAUACUAGGAACAUAUUUACUCUUGUGUAAAUAAGAACUUUUUAGCUUAGUCUGUGUUUGAUGUGGAUUAGUGGUACCAACUAUAUGCUGAGUGUUACAUUUUUCUUUGUGAAUGGUUUUGUAGCAGUCUCCCUGAAAUAGUAUUUAAACCCGCUCGCAACAA